UCCACGCCGUAAACGUUGUACACUUGGUGUUGGGAGAUUUGACCCUCUCAGUGCCGUAGCUAACGCGAUAAGUGUACCGCCUGGGGAGUACGAUCGCAAGAUUAAAACUCAAAGGAAUUGACGGGGACCCGCACAAGCGGUGGAGCAUGUGGCUUAAUUCGAGGCAACGCGAAGAACCUUACCUAGAUUUGACAUUGAUUGAUCGCUGUAGAAAUACAGUUUUCCUUCGGGAC
rnacentral:rRNA from 1 species